UGACCAGACUCCUACGGGAGGCAGCAGUGGGGGAUAUUGCACAAUGGGGGGGACCCUGAUGCAGCGACGCCGCGUGGGUGAAGGAGUAUUUCGGUAUGUAAAGCCCUAUCGGCAGGGAAGAAGCAAGACGGUACCUGACUAAGAAGCCCCGGCUAACUACGUGCCAGCAGCCGCGGUAAUACGUAGGGGGCAAGCGUUAUCCGGAUUUACUGGGUGUAAAGGGAGCGUAGACGGCAGUGCAAGUCUGGAGUGAAAGCCCAUGGCGUAACCAUGGUACUGCUCUGGAAACUGUGGAGCUUGAGUGCGGGAGGGGCAGGCGGAAUUCCUAGUGUAGCGGUGAAAUGCGUAGAUAUUAGGAGGAACACCGGCGGCGAAGGCGGCCUGCUGGACCGUAACUGACGUUGAGGCUCGAAAGCGUGGGGAGCAAACAGGAUUAGAUACCCCUGUACGA
rnacentral:rRNA from 1 species